rnacentral:lncRNA from 1 species
AAUUGUUAUUUACAGGUAAGGUUAAUUCUGUUACUGWAAGUGAGUUAAUGUGAAUUGGUCUUUUUGCCUUUUUUUAGGAUCAUGAUGUACUGAUGAAACUCAAUGAUAAUUGGAGGAAAGUUCAGAAGCUUUUCCCUUUUCAGCCUAAUGGUAUCUCCAACACAAACAGAAACGGAGGAUUUCUGCAGAACCAUUAUGAAGGUUGCUCUGGWCAGCCUCUCUGCGUGUCAAAACCUCAGCCUCAAUCCUCCAGGCGGGUGUCGUUCCCCUCCUUAGUCUGUCUGCAGUCCCUGACUUUUUCAUUUCAGGUUCCUGUCACCUGCUUUUCACUCUUCUGCCUCAGAGGACAUCACACAGCUGURCUUACUGAGGAUACCAGCUCUCUCAAGAAACAGUCUUUGCAGGCUUUCUAAAUCCAUGGGAGAUUGUAGUGGCUUGGAURAACMRUUACAGAUCUGUUUUYCCUGUACUCCCUUCCUUCACMCCCCGUUUUCAAAUAAGCACCACUUAGUUUGAGGGCUUUCGGCUCUCUUGUUCUAGUUUAAUGGCUGCGCGUUAGCACCCCGUAGCAUUAGCUGGAGGUAUCAGUCUGAAUCUCACUCUCUCAGAAAGGCAGGGCACAUUUUUUAUAACUCCUUCUAGACUGCAUGUCUGCUUUAUAUCAGAUAUGAUUUAAUAGACUUUUUAAAGCCAGCCUGUCAUCUGUCUUCCCUGAAUGUGAGAAGCAGCACAUUUACAAGUUACACACUUUAGAAAGCCUUUCAUUGUCCCUCAAAGCUCCUACCAACGCGUCGAUUCCAGCAGUCCUCUUUUUAUGGAAACCUUUAAGCCUCUCUCCUUUGUACGGACAGCUUGAAGUUYGUCUGCUGUUUUCUACCUUGCYUCUUAUCGGGUCUAAGAAUGGUGUAUUACACAGGCACCUUCCGCACGGGGGGAUUUCAGAAAUAUAUUGGCCCGCUCCAGAACCCAGCCUUUAUUAAUCAGGGCAGAGCGUGCCYGGUGCCGUUCCAGACGGGCUCCUUCCCUCUGCCGUCCGUCCCCAGCUGCAGUGCUCGCAGAGCUCUUCGGAUGCUGCAGUUUUUCCUUUUGUUAUUCCAUAUCCUACAGCAGCAGUGGAGUCCAUCAGCCUCAAUCGGUGCUGACACUACGAAACACAAAAGCACCACAUCAAAAUAGGAAUAUUUGAGGGCAAGGUUGCUUUAUGAAUACACAAAUAAUAAACUCCAGCUGUGUCCUGCCA